AUGCGCAUCCGGCUUAAAUCUGUCUGCACUCUUGUAGAACAACUAUAUACUAGUGCCCAACGAACCAUUGCUGCUACACUGCACAAGAAAUCUCCCUCAACACUCAUCAAAGACGCACUGGAAACAUUAUCCGUGCUGCCCCAAAGGAUUGAUGACUUAAAACGGGGAGCUGCCAGAGCCGGCGCCUUGACUGCCUUAAGUCAGGCUAAGGCAUGGCAAGCAUAUCUUGAUUCUGAAGAUUUGGCCAAUGGCUGCCCCAACGUUAAAGAAGACGGAUCUACCUUCAGUGCUGAUGAUUUUGUAGAAAUAGCAAGAGCAAUGCGUCCCUUAGCAAGUAAGAUGGCUGACGAAACCAAUCUAUCUACAUACCAGGCGGCUUAUGACGCUGAGAACAAGAAAGUGAAAGCACCGAUUCAUCAGCCAACGGAUCUCAUCCUGCCGAUUCGUAAGCACACCUUCUCUCCUGACAUUGAUCCAUCAAACCUUAUUGAUGAUGAAGUUGUGUUUAGAGCGUUGACCAGUAUCAACUAG
rnacentral:rRNA from 1 species